GUGACCGAUAGUGAACCAGUACCGUGAGGGAAAGGUGAAAAGCACCCCGGAAGGGGAGUGAAAUAGAUCCUGAAACCGUGUGCCUACAAGUAGUCAGAGCCCGUUAAAGGGUGAUGGCGUGCCUUUUGUAGAAUGAACCGGCGAGUUACGAUCCCGUGCAAGGUUAAGCAGAAGAUGCGGAGCCGCAGCGAAAGCGAGUCUGAAUAGGGCGCAUGAGUACGUGGUCGUAGACCCGAAACCAGGUGAUCUACCCAUGUCCAGGGUGAAGUUCAGGUAACACUGAAUGGAGGCCCGAACCCACGCACGUUGAAAAGUGCGGGGAUGAGGUGUGGGUAGGGGUGAAAUGCCAAUCGAACCUGGAGAUAGCUGGUUCUCUCCGAAAUAGCUUUAGGGCUAGCCUCAAGGUAAGAGUCUCGGAGGUAGAGCACUGAUUGGACUAGGGGCCCCUACCGGGUUACCGAAUUCAGUCAAACUCCGAAUGCCGAUGACUUAUCCUUGGGAGUCAGACUGCGAGUGAUAAGAUCCGUAGUCGAAAGGGAAACAGCCCAGACCGCCAGCUAAGGUCCCAAAGUAUACGUUAAGUGGAAAAGGAUGUGGAGUUGCUUAGACAACCAGGAUGUUGGCUUAGAAGCAGCCACCAUUUAAAGAGUGCGUAAUAGCUCACUGGUCGAGUGACUCUGCGCCGAAAAUGUACCGGGGCUAAACGUAUCACCGAAGCUGCGGACUGUUCUAACGAACAGUGGUAGGAGAGCGUUCUAAGUGCUGUGAAGUCAGACCGGAAGGACUGGUGGAGCGCUUAGAAGUGAGAAUGCCGGUAUGAGUAGCGAAAGACGGGUGAGAAUCCCGUCCACCGAAUGCCUAAGGUUUCCUGAGGAAGGCUCGUCCGCUCAGGGUUAGUCGGGACCUAAGCCGAGGCCGAAAGGCGUAGGCGAUGGACAACAGGUUGAUAUUCCUGUACCACCUCCUCACCAUUUGAGCAAUGGGGGGACGCAGGAGGAUAGGGUAAGCGCGGUAUUGGAUAUCCGCGUCCAAGCAGUUAGGCUGGGAAAUAGGCAAAUCCGUUUCCCGUGAAGGCUGAGCUGUGAUGGCGAGCGAAAUUUAGUAGCGAAGUUCCUGAUUCCACACUGCCAAGAAAAGCCUCUAGCGAGGUGAGAGGUGCCCGUACCGCAAACCGACACAGGUAGGCGAGGAGAGAAUCCUAAGGUGAUCGAGAGAACUCUCGUUAAGGAACUCGGCAAAAUGACCCCGUAACUUCGGGAGAAGGGGUGCUUCUUAGGGUGUUAAAGCCCCGAGAAGCCGCAGUGAAUAGGCCCAGGCGACUGUUUAGCAAAAACACAGGUCUCUGCGAAGCCGUAAGGCGAAGUAUAGGGGCUGACGCCUGCCCGGUGCUGGAAGGUUAAGAGGAGCGCUUAGCGUAAGCGAAGGUGCGAAUUGAAGCCCCAGUAAACGGCGGCCGUAACUAUAACGGUCCUAAGGUAGCGAAAUUCCUUGUCGGGUAAGUUCCGACCCGCACGAAAGGCGCAACGAUCUGGGCACUGUCUCAACGAGAGACUCGGUGAAAUUAUAGUACCUGUGAAGAUGCAGGUUACCCGCGACAGGACGGAAAGACCCCGUGGAGCUUUACUGCAGCCUGAUAUUGAAUGUUGGUACAGCUUGUACAGGAUAGGUAGGAGCCUUGGAAACCGGAGCGCUAGCUUCGGUGGAGGCAUCGGUGGGAUACUACCCUGGCUGUAUUGACCUUCUAACCCGCUGCCCUUAUCGGGCAGGGAGACAGUGUCAGGUGGGCAGUUUGACUGGGGCGGUCGCCUCCUAAAAUGUAACGGAGGCGCCCAAAGGUUCCCUCAGAAUGGUUGGAAAUCAUUCGCAGAGUGUAAAGGCACAAGGGAGCUUGACUGCGAGACCUACAAGUCGAGCAGGGACGAAAGUCGGGCUUAGUGAUCCGGUG
rnacentral:rRNA from 1 species